GUCGAGCGGACAGAUGGGAGCUUGCUCCCUGAUGUUAGCGGCGGACGGGUGAGUAACACGUGGGUAACCUGCCUGUAAGACUGGGAUAACUCCGGGAAACCGGGGCUAAUACCGGAUGGUUGUUUGAACCGCAUGGUUCAAACAUAAAAGGUGGCUUCGGCUACCACUUACAGAUGGACCCGCGGCGCAUUAGCUAGUUGGUGAGGUAACGGCUCACCAAGGCAACGAUGCGUAGCCGACCUGAGAGGGUGAUCGGCCACACUGGGACUGAGACACGGCCCAGACUCCUACGGGAGGCAGCAGUAGGGAAUCUUCCGCAAUGGACGAAAGUCUGACGGAGCAACGCCGCGUGAGUGAUGAAGGUUUUCGGAUCGUAAAGCUCUGUUGUUAGGGAAGAACAAGUACCGUUCGAAUAGGGCGGUACCUUGACGGUACCUAACCAGAAAGCCACGGCUAACUACGUGCCAGCAGCCGCGGUAAUACGUAGGUGGCAAGCGUUGUCCGGAAUUAUUGGGCGUAAAGGGCUCGCAGGCGGUUUCUUAAGUCUGAUGUGAAAGCCCCCGGCUCAACCGGGGAGGGUCAUUGGAAACUGGGGAACUUGAGUGCAGAAGAGGAGAGUGGAAUUCCACGUGUAGCGGUGAAAUGCGUAGAGAUGUGGAGGAACACCAGUGGCGAAGGCGACUCUCUGGUCUGUAACUGACGCUGAGGAGCGAAAGCGUGGGGAGCGAACAGGAUUAGAUACCCUGGUAGUCCACGCCGUAAACGAUGAGUGCUAAGUGUUAGGGGGUUUCCGCCCCUUAGUGCUGCAGCUAACGCAUUAAGCACUCCGCCUGGGGAGUACGGUCGCAAGACUGAAACUCAAAGGAAUUGACGGGGCCCGCACAAGCGGUGGAGCAUGGUGGUUUAAUUCGAAGCAACGCGAAGA
rnacentral:rRNA from 1 species